AUGCUGGCUUCAGAAGCACAUAUACUAAGAUUAGAACAAUACAGGGAAGAUUAGCAUGGACCCUGUGCACGGUAACACACAAAUUGGUGAAGUGUUCCAUAUUAAA
ensembl:snRNA U6 U6 spliceosomal RNA